AAGUCGUAACAAGGUUUCCGUAGGUGAACCUGCGGAAGGAUCAUCAACAAAAGAGAAAGCGGGCGGGCGCAAGCCCGUUUCGCGAUUUCUCAAAAAUGUAUUCACCCCAAGUUCCUUAAAAAUUUUAAUUAAAAAAAUUUGCAAAAGACCACCUAAAUACGGUGGCGUCUAAUGCAUACAGCGAAAACUUUCAACAACGGAUCUCUUGGCUCUC
rnacentral:misc_RNA from 1 species